rnacentral:rRNA from 1 species
UAGUAAGCGCGAGUCAUCAUCUCGCGUUGAUUACGUCCCUGCCUUAGUACACACCGCCCGUCGCUCCUACCGAUUGAACGUGCUGGUGAAGCGUUAGGACUGGAACUUUGGGCCGGUUUCCUGCCCAUCGUUUCGGGAAUUUCGUUGAACCCUCCCGUUUAGAGGAAGCGAGAAGCUCGUAACAAGGUCUCCGUAGGUGAACCUGUCGGAGGGAUCAUUGAAACCGA